rnacentral:rRNA from 1 species
UACGGAGGAUUCAAGCGUUAUCCGGAUUUACUGGGUGUAAAGGGAGCGUAGACGGCGUGCCAAGUCUGAUGUGAAAGGCCGGGGCUCAACCCCGGGACUGCAUUGGAAACUGGCAUGCUAGAGUGUCGGAGAGGCAGGCGGAAUUCCUGGUGUAGCGGUGAAAUGCGUAGAUAUCAGGAGGAACACCGGUGGCGAAGGCGGCCUGCUGGACUGCAACUGACGUUGAGGCCCGAAAGCGUGGGGAGCAAACAGG